AUGUUCAUCUCUCAGGACACCGCUGUAGUCUGGCCCCUCAAAACAGCAAUCUCCUCCAGCAGCGUUGGCCAACCCAUCACCCAUAAUAUUGCAGCUGGACUUGCCCAAACCACAAUCCAUUUCGGCACCGGUGCGACAUUGUUAUCCAUUUUCUCCCCAUUGGAGCUCCUCGUGGUCACUCUGUGUGUGCCUCUCUUUAUUUGGAAAUCCUUUCCAGCACUGCUAGAAGAGUCGUUCUCCAUUUUAAUAGCAUGGGAGCUGUUCGCAGCCGUACUGCGUGUGUGUCUCUUCAAUGGGAAAUCCUUUCCGGCACCGCUGCAGGCGCCGUUCUCCAUUUUAACCCCAUCGGAGCUCUUGGCAGUCGCACUGCGUGUGGCUCUUCUCAACAGGCAAUCCAUUUCAGCACCGGGGUUCUUCAUGGUCGCGCUGCGCGUGCUUCUCCUCAACUGGCUAUCCUUUCCAGCACCUGCGCUGCGCGCGCUGUUCUCCCCAUCGGUCCUCUUCAUGGUCGCACUGCGCGUGCUUCUCUUCUUCGACUGGCCGUCCAUCGGAUCUCCCGCGCUACGGCCGCCGCUCCCCACCACCGACGACGAUCUGGGACGUUUGGUGCCAGAACCGCCCGCCGGCGCCCCGGCGCGGCCUCUGGGCGCGGCGGCGGCGGCGGCGGGGGUCUUGGCCUGGUACCUGACGAAGCCGCGCUGGAAGCGCCACGGCGUGAGCGCCUUGUACCUCCGCCCGCUGGUCGCCCUGGGCGGCACCGCCGCCUUCCCGGUCUCCCUGAUUGAGGGGCCGGCGGCGGCGGCGGCGGUGGAGGGGGUUGGUAGGUCGCGCGCGCUGGCCUCGGGGUUUCCCGGUGGAUUUGGCGCGGCGCGAGGCUUCCCCUGUAAUGGCGGAGCGGCGGGCGGGAGGGGUGGGGUGGGGAGGUGA
rnacentral:rRNA from 1 species